GUUUAUGGCCAUGCAACCCUGAACAGGCCUGAUGUCUGAUCUCGGAAGCUAAACAGGGUCAGGCCUGGUUAGUACUUGGAUGGGAGAUCACCUAGGAAGACCAGGUGCUGUAGGUG
rnacentral:rRNA from 1 species